rnacentral:rRNA from 1 species
GACGAACGCUGGCGGCGUGCCUAAUACAUGCAAGUCGAGCGAACCGACGAGGUGCUUGCACCUUUGACGUUAGCGGCGAACGGGUGAGUAACACGUAAGGAAUCUACCUAUAAGUGGGGGAUAACAUCCGGAAACGGAUGCUAAUACCGGAUAACAACACUAGACGCAUGUCUAGAGUUUGAAAGAUGGUUCUGCUAUCACUCUUGGAUGGACCUGCGGUGCAUUAGCUAGUUGGUAAGGUAACGGCUUACCAAGGCAAUGAUGCAUAGCCGAGUUGAGAGACUGAUCGGCCACAUUGGGACUGAGACACGGCCCAA